CACAACAAAAGACCUAUUUUGGAAAGUGUUUUUUUCUUUUCCUCUUCAAAAGUACAAGCUCUGUUCCUUUCUCUGAUCAUAGAAACUCAUUUCAAGUAGAACUCCAGCGGAGGAAAUUGUAGGAAAGCUAAACUAAAAGAAAUUAAAUUUCCCAAAAUGGGUUUUCUCACAAGUACGCUUCACUUGAUCGAUUUCCUCGCGUGGCCGGUACUUGCUCUUGGAUAUCCUCUAUGUGCUUCAAUCAGAGCGAUUGAGACUGGCUCCAAGUAUCACAUGAGGAAGCUAGUCACAUAUUGGACCAUCUUUUCCUUUGUUUCAUUGUUCGACUGCCUUUUUGAGAAACUUAUCCAAUGGGUUCCUCUGUGGCCAUAUAUAAAAUUACAUACCAUAUGUUGGUUGGUAAUACCUCAGUUUAAUGGCGCGUGUUAUUUUUAUGGAAAUCUUAUUCAUCCAUGUUUGUCGGUGAAUGUUAUCACUCAGGUUUAUGAUGUUUACCAACGCCUUUUAUGUUUGUGCUUGUCUGUCAACCUUCAAACUGUCACUGACUGGUUUAACAAGCCAAUGGAAGAACCCUGUGAAUCACUUGUGUCUGUGGCAAAGGAAGAAAAUAGAUCUGAUGCUCCGGACAAGCUUAAUUCAAACAAGUCCAAGUAUUUUAGUUUGAAUCAUCAUGUAGAAGAAAUCAAGACUACAAAUAAUAGUGAUGAAGCAGGAAUGCUCAAUCCCAACCAGGUUCCUCAGCUGUUUUUCCUAGCUUCCUGUACUGUACUGUACUGUGUGAAACAGUUGUCAACUUCUUAUUUAUUGGUGUUUUACUCCUUAACGAAUUGACAAGUUGCAUUAGUAGUUGGGUAAAAAACUACAAAUUGGUUUGCACGCACACAUAAAACACACACAUCAUGCAGACGUUUUGCUUAUUUCCAGCUAAUUCAUGAAUGCUUCAUUUGCAUCGACACAGUGUACCUUCCAACCCAUAAGUUAAUGUAUUUAACAUUAUGCAGCUAUCAGUUUUCUUAAAUGAAGCAUCAAUGAGAGAAUUUUCCUUUUGUUAACAACCGAACUAAUUCUUUUAUAGUGAAAAUCAUUUUGUCUCUUCUCAUGCCGUAAAUAAUAAUUAUUGUGCCCCUAAACAGAGGGGUGUUCCUGUUUGGGAAGAUAUAUUAAUGUGAUGAAGCACAUGCCAAAACAUGAAGCAGCUGAGCCCAAACAGGUUAAAAGGGUGAAGGAAAAUCUAAUUCAGAUUGAGAGGAAAACGAAAGGAAUGCAGGUCAAGAAAACAGCAGUUCCAGAAGAUGCUGUAGAGAUUAAACUCUCAGAGACCAUUUCUUUGAAGCAAGUUCAGACAGAGUGGAGUUGUGCAGUAUUCCAAGUGACAACAAAGUCGGAGCAUGUCUUGAAGUCCCAUCUUAACGGAAGGAAACAUAGGGCAAUGUGUGAAGGGCUGAAAACCUGCAAGCAGACAACCAAAAAUGAAGGCAACGCACCUGUUGCAUCAAACAAGUCAAAUCAGCUUAAGCAGGAGGAAGUUAAACAUGCAGCUGCAGCACGAUCAGAGCACAAUAGUACCAAUCUAAAAUUGAAAGAAAAGGUCAACCUAGCAGCUGCUGGUCAGCAAAUGAAGAGUGCUGAUAUUACUGUUCAUAAUUCGACACUGUGGUGUGGUAUUUGUAACAAGAGGUGCUCUGACGAGACUGCUAUGGCAGCACAUCUUAACGGGAGAAAGCAAUGGCCAAACUUCAAAAAACAAUGAGUUCGAAGGCUGUGGCAGAGAGGAAUCUUGAAGAGAAAGGAUCUGAUGUUUCCGAGAAACUUGUUACAAACAAGGUUAAGCAUUUGAAGGUAAAUGUUAUUCGGAUUGAGAAUAAUAUGAAAGGACUACUAGAAAGGCCAAAGCAACUGAAGAGUGCUGAUGUUGCUGUUCAUAAUUCUACGCUGUGGCGUGGUACUUGUAACAAGAGGUGCUCUGGCGAGACUGCUAUGGCUGCACAUCUUAACGGGAGAAAGCACAAGACCACACUUCAAAAAACAAUGAGUUCUAAGGCUGUGGCAGGGAGCUAUCUCGAAGAGACUAGAUUUGAUGUCCCUGAGAAACUUAUUGCAAACAAGGUAUGUUUGAUGUUACUUCAGCAAGGAGUAGCCACUUCUUUGACAAAUUGGUGUCACACCUCCUUUUUGCGCGCCCGGCCCCGAAGGGUUAAAUGCGCGAGAAAGUUUUUCCAAUUUAA